GCCGGGUGUGGUGGCUCACGCCUGUAAUUCCAGCAUUUUGGGAGGCUGAGGCAGGUGGAUCAUCUGAGGUCAGGAGUUCAAGACCAGCCUGGCCAACAUGGUGAAACCCUGUCUCUA
rnacentral:sRNA from 1 species